GUUUUAAUAAUUUAAAUAAAAAUAUUAGUUUUGUAAACUAAAUUUAAGUCAACUUUUAAAACA
rnacentral:tRNA from 1 species